rnacentral:rRNA from 1 species
AAUGAACGUUGGCGGCGUGGAUUAGGCAUGCAAGUCGAGCGAGAACCCGCAAGGGGGACAGCGGCAAACGGGGUAGUAACGGGUAGGCAACGUACCCUCGGGUCGGGGAUAGCCACGGGAAACUGUGGGUAAUACCCGAUAAUCUCUGCGGUGGUAAGUACUGCAGAGCAAAGGUGUGAUUCCACCGGAGGAGCGGCCUGCUUCGUAUUAGCUUGUUGGUGAGGUAACGGCUCACCAAGGCGACGAUGCGUAGGGGGUGUGAGAGCAUGACCCCCACCACUGGGACUGAGAUACUGCCCAGACACCUACGGGUGGCUGCAGUCGAGAAUCUUCGGCAAUGGGCGCAAGCCUGACCGAGCGACGCCGCGUGUGGGAUGAAGGCCCUUGGGUUGUAAACCACUGUCAGAGGGGAUGAAAUGCACGAGAGCUAUCUCUUGUGUUUGACAUAGCCUCAGAGGAAGCACGGGCUAAGUUCGUGCCAGCAGCCGCAGUAAAAC